rnacentral:snRNA from 1 species
UUUAUAGUGCCUCAUCAAUAUCC